GGGCCGUACCCGCAGCAUAUGCAAGUUCCCAGGCUAGGGGCUGAAUCAGAGUUGUGGCUGCCCGCCUACGCCACAGCCACAGCAACACCAAAUCCGAGCCAUGUCUGUGACCUACACCACAGCUCACAACAAUGCCAGAUCCUUAACCCACUGAGCGGGGCCAAAGAUCAAACCCACACCCUCAUGGACGCAUUGGGUUUGUUACCACUGAGCCACAACGGGAACUCAAACUGAUGAACACUUUUUUAAUCAUUAAGUAAAUGAUGAACCUCUGAAUAACUGUCAGUUUUUACAAAACAACCAAUGGUUUUCACUUGUACAGUCACUGUAUUCUCCAAGGAAGUUUUAAAGUUAUUUUCUAGAUGUUCUAGAACACACAAGAUACUUUAUUUGAAUGGCAGCUGUUAAUGAAUAUACUGGGAAACAUUGGGAGGCUUUAGAACACACCAUCCUGAAGCUUUAUCCAAAAAAAUCAAACAUGGAUGAAUCUACUUGGAAAAAUUUUAUCUAGUUGUAUUUAUGGCUUGUUGCAUUCAUGGCUUUUGACCCAUUUUUAGCUGAUUUCCUAAAAAUGGCAUAGGGUCUCCAAAGACCCCAAUUCUGGAUUCUAGAUACUAUACAGAAGUGUCUUUGGUGUUGCUUCUCUCUCUUUUUUUUUUUUUCUUCUAAUAUUUUACCACCUACUUUUAAAUGCCCAGGAACUCCUCUUAGAAAAUCAGCUCAGGCUGCCCCCCAACUCACAGCCUGCCUCAGAGUUAACAUUCCCAGUUACAUACACUCUGAGAACCUAAUCCUAAAUUUAAUUUGUAAUUUCCUCUGAAAUAUGUAAAGUCCCUUAGAAAGUUUUUUGGGUUGUUUUUUUUUUUUUUUUUUUUUUAUCUUUAAGUGCACAGUGAAGGCUUUAACCAUCUUAGUGGCACUGGAGUAAGUAAAUGGGUGUGGUCUGGGAAAGAAUAAAACACAGAAGGUCAGAGUUCACAUGCCCCGUCUACUGUUCACGAGCCAGGUGAGCUCUGGGCCAGUUCUUUGGUCUUGGUGGGACUCUCGUUUCUUAUCUAGGAAAUGGAAGGUAUUAAUACCUCCUUCACCACUGCGGCAGGUAUCAGCAAUGUCACAGGUACGGCACCAGGCACAUGUGCUCAAUUAGAUCACAGGGCUCAAGGCAGCCUGGUGCUCAAAGAACAGGCUCUACAGCAAGUCCAACUGUGAACACCCCCUCUACUACUUAACGGCGGUGGAGCCUUGAAAAAGUUAUUUAACUGCUCUGUGCCUCCAUUUCUUCAUCCAUAAAGUGAAGAUGAUAACAAUAAAAGCAUGUAGAUCACAUGAGGGUUAAAAAUAUUUUUAAACUUUUCAAACAAAUUGUCACAGAGUAAACAAAAAAAUAUUAGCUUUUAGAUCUUAGUAAUUAAUAAUACAGUGUGCUCCAGGGGUAACUUGGGGAGCUUGAAUAUUUUCUUCAAAAUAUAGAAACUGUAUUUCUUUUUCUCCCCAAAUAGGUAUUAAAAAGAGAAACACUGAAGGAAAUUUUUCUCUGCAGCUCACUUAUGUGUUUGUUUCUUGAACAUAAGGCCAUUAAAAUCAUUUACGUUUAUAGAACGUUAAAACAUAUAUUAGACCAAGGGAAAUGCUAAUGGUGAAAACAUUUGCUUCCAUUAUGUUCCUGGUUAAAUAAAAGAAGCAUUUCAUUCGGCCAGUGAAAUACUACUUCCUCAGAGAACGCAGGGAAGAUUAAUUACCCAAAUGCCCCGAAAGUUGCCUCUGCAUAAAUCCAAUCUAUCCUAGGGGCACAAGUGAAAAAAAUGUUUUUAGCAAAACCUGAGCUUAAU
rnacentral:lncRNA from 1 species